UACGAAGGGUGCAAGCGUUAAUCGGACUUACUGGGCGUAAAGCGUGCGCAGGCGGCUUUGCAAGACAGAUGUGAAAUCCCCGGGCUCAACCUGGGAACUGCAUUUGUGACUGCAAGGCUAGAGUACGGCAGAGGGGGAUGGAAUUCCGCGUGUAGCAGUGAAAUGCGUAGAUAUGCGGAGGAACACCAAUGGCGAAGGCAAUCCCCUGGGCCUGUACUGACGCUCAUGCACGAAAGCGUGGGGAGCAAACAGG
rnacentral:rRNA from 1 species